rnacentral:lncRNA from 1 species
GGAGCGGUUCUCUUCGAGUUGGCUGAGUGUUAUUCUUCCGAUUCGUUCGACGAAGGAAGGUUUAUUUUUUAUCAGUUCUUAUUCACUGUCUAUUGUAAUCUGUGAAAUAAUUUUAGUGGAACUGUUAAUCACUCUUUACAGUGAUUAACGACUAGACGUAGAUUUUGUUGAACCGAACCAGUAUAAAAAUACUUGUGUGGUUUUCUGUUCCCUAC